rnacentral:misc_RNA from 1 species
AACAAGGCGUACCUGCGGACCUGCGGAGGGAUCAUUACCGAGUGUGGUCCCAUAUAAGGGGCGCCUCCCGUCCUUUGCAGGGCCUUUAGGGGCUUUUUGACUUUGCUUCGGCGGGCUUGCCCCGCCGGAACACCCUCAAGAAAAUCUUUAUGAACCGUUUGUCUGAGUUGCUUGCGAAUAAAAACAAAACUUUCAGCAACGGAUCU